CUUCCCCUACGGGGGGCAGCAGUAGGGAAUAUUGGGCAAUGGGCGCAAGCCUGACCCAGCAACGCCGCGUGAAGGAAGAAGGCUUUCGGGUUGUAAACUUCUUUUAUGAGGGACGAAACAAAUGACGGUACCUCAUGAAUAAGCCACGGCUAACUACGUGCCAGCAGCCGCGGUAAUACGUAGGUGGCAAGCGUUAUCCGGAUUUACUGGGUGUAAAGGGCGUGUAGGCGGGACUGCAAGUCAGAUGUGAAAAUUAUGGGCUCAACCCAUAACCUGCAAUUUAAACUGUAGUUCUUGAGUGAUGG
rnacentral:rRNA from 1 species